rnacentral:lncRNA from 1 species
AUAUUUGGACUUCUUGACCGAUUGACGCAUAUAGCUAUAGUAGCGGUUGUUGUUUGUAUACCUUCAGUUCUUUUUUUACACUUGUCUUGCUACUAUAGUUUAGCUGCAUAUAUACUUUCAGUUGUUCAUUACAGUAGCGGUAGUUGUGCUUUCAUUUAUAGUUCUAUCUCUUUCGUUCAUUAUUGUUGCUAUUGUAUUUAGUAUUACACUUACCCAUAUUGUUGUUUAUCUCUUCCUGAUCCGGUGAGUACUCCUCGCCUUCAUCGGCUUGCGGUACCCACUGGGAGGGGAAACAUGUUUACAUGUUCUCACCUCCCCCACCAUUUUUCAGAUAUUGCGGGCGGUGAGGUUGAGACGAGACGUGAGGUACGUUCGUAGCGGUCGAUAGAGCUUGCGAUCCAGGUUAUUCGGUUUAGUUUUUACCCUUAUUAUUUCUAUUGAUAUAUAGCUUAGUCGGUUUAUAUGGUUCAGUAUUUCAUUAUAUUAAAAUAUUCAAGAUUUCAGUUGGUUUUCCGAAUGAGACAAUGAUUUCUGGAUUUUCAUAAAAUGAAAAGGUUUUCUACCCCUCGUGAUAGCGUGUUUUAAAAGAAAAGAGUUUCCUUAUGAAUAACGGCUUUCAAACAGCUUUCUCGUGGUUUUUGUAACUUAGUAUUUCAAAAUCAGUUUCCGGGUAGGAAUCAUUUUAACUGAUAGAUGUGGAUUCAUGAUUAAGACUAUGUGAAUGGACCUGUGGUGAAUGGUGUAUGAAUAUAAAACUGUUGGAUGUUUGUAUGUUCAUUUAGUUGUGGUUGUAUUAUGUUUGUACUCUUGUACUUGUGCGACGCCGUGCAAAUACAGGGGAGAUUCUGUCCGUGUGAGCAGUGGAA